CGUUCGCUCCCCUAGCUUUCGCGCCUCAGCGUCAGUGUCGGCCCAGCUACCCGCCUUCGCCGCAGGUGUUCCUCUCGAUAUCUACGCAUUUCACCGCUACACCGAGAAUUCCAGUAGCCCCUUCCGCACUCUAGCACGACAGUAUCGAUUGACCGCUCCGAGUUAAGCCCGGAGAUUUCACAAUCGACUUGUUGCGCCGCCUACGCGCCCUUUACGCCCAGUAAAUCCGAACAACGCUUGCUCCCCCCGUAUUACCGCGGCUGCUGGCACGGAGUUAGCCGGAGCUUACAAAUGGUACCGUCAUCGCAGGAGGUAUUGGCUCCUGCUUAUUCGUCCCAUUCUUAUGAAGUUUACAUUCCGAAAAACUUCAUCCUUCACGCGGCGUUGCUGGGUCAGGCUUGCGCCCAUUGCCCAAAAUUCCCGACUGCUGCCUCCCGUAGGAGUCUGGCCCGUGUGUCAGUGCCAGUGUGGCCGACCGCCCUCUCAGGCCGGCUACGGAUCGUUGCCUUGGUAGGCCGUUACCCUGCCAACAAGCUAAUCCGCCGCGGGCUUCUCUUCAGGCGCGAGGUCUUACGAUCCCCCGCUUUAACAACUGUCACCAUGUGGUGCCGCUGCGUUAUGCGGUAUUA
rnacentral:rRNA from 1 species